GCCGCCUUGGUGGAACUGGCAGACACGUCAGACUCAAAAUCUGGUGCCUUCACGGGCAUCCCGGUUCGAUUCCGGGAGGCGGCA
rnacentral:tRNA from 1 species